rnacentral:rRNA from 1 species
GAUGAACGCUGGCGGCGUGCCUAAUACAUGCAAGUCGAGCGAACGGACGAGAAGCUUGCUUCUCUGAUGUUAGCGGCGGACGGGUGAGUAACACGUGGAUAACCUACCUAUAAGACUGGGAUAACUUCGGGAAACCGGAGCUAAUACCGGAUAAUAUUUUGAACCGCAUGGUUCAAAAGUGAAAGACGGUCUUGCUGUCACUUAUAGAUGGAUCCGCGCUGCAUUAGCUAGUUGGUAAGGUAACGGCUUACCAAGGCAACGAUGCAUAGCCGACCUGAGAGGGUGAUCGGCCACACUGGGACUGAGACACGGUCCAGACUCCUACGGGAGGCAGCAGUAGGGAAUCUUCCGCAAUGGGCGAAAGCCUGACGGAGCAACGCCGCGUGAGUGAUGAAGGUCUUCGGAUCGUAAAACUCUGUUAUUAGGGAAGAACAUAUGUGUAAGUAACUGUGCACAUCUUGACGGUACCUAAUCAGAAAGCCACGGCUAACUACGUGCCAGCAGCCGCGGUAAUACGUAGGUGGCAAGCGUUAUCCGGAAUUAUUGGGCGUAAAACGCGCGUAGGCGGUUUUUUAAGUCUGAUGUGAAAGCCCACGGCUCAACCGUGGAGGGUCAUUGGAAACUGGAAAACUUGAGUGCAGAAGAGGAAAGUGGAAUUCCAUGUGUAGCGGUGAAAUGCGCAGAGAUAUGGAGGAACACCAGUGGCGAAGGCGACUUUCUGGUCUGUAACUGACGCUGAUGUGCGAAAGCGUGGGGAUCAAACAGGAUUAGAUACCCUGGUAGUCCACGCCGUAAACGAUGAGUGCUAAGUGUUAGGGGGUUUCCGCCCCUUAGUGCUGCAGCUAACGCAUUAAGCACUCCGCCUGGGGAGUACGACCGCAAGGUUGAAACUCAAAGGAAUUGACGGGGACCCGCACAAGCGGUGGAGCAUGUGGUUUAAUUCGAAGCAACGCGAAGAACCUUACCAAAUCUUGACAUCCUUUGACAACUCUAGAGAUAGAGCUUUCCCCUUCGGGGGACAAAGUGACAGGUGGUGCAUGGUUGUCGUCAGCUCGUGUCGUGAGAUGUUGGGUUAAGUCCCGCAACGAGCGCAACCCUCAAGCUUAGUUGCCAUCAUUAAGUUGGGCACUCUAAGUUGACUGCCGGUGACAAACCGGAGGAAGGUGGGGAUGACGUCAAAUCAUCAUGCCCCUUAUGAUUUGGGCUACACACGUGCUACAAUGGACAAUACAAAGGGCAGCGAAACCGCGAGGUCAAGCAAAUCCCAUAAAGUUGUUCUCAGUUCGGAUUGUAGUCUGCAACUCGACUACAUGAAGCUGGAAUCGCUAGUAAUCGUAGAUCAGCAUGCUACGGUGAAUACGUUCCCGGGUCU